GGAUGAAUCACUUGGGGAUCUAAUUAGAAUCCAAAUUCUGACUCAUCAGUUCUAGGCUGUGGCCUAAGAGUGUGCCUUUCUGACACGUUCCCAGGGGAUGAUGUG
rnacentral:pre_miRNA from 1 species